CAGAUCACUCCGCAGGGUCAGACACACUUUUUUUUAAACACAACAUAAACAAAUAAACCCACUCCCACACAGACAACCACACACCUCCACUUUCUGAACAGCCCCUCCCGGAGUAUGUGCACUCUGACCGGGUGGAGGACACUAACUCUCCCGGUAAUAAACUCUCCGCUCCGGUAGAGACGUUAACGUUUCCUCGGCCCUACUUCUCCUGCUGUCGCUGACAGGCGGUGCUUCGGUCGCUCCCAAACAUGGCCUCCAUGACGGAGCGACCGCUUCAACUUUAAUUUUUCGCCAAUUUUCAGAGCAAAAAGACGUUUUUCUCCUUCCACGACCACCGGGAAUGUUUCGUCUGAGGGUCCCAUCAUGGCAGAGUCGUGACGCGGAUGUGAUCUUUGGGAGAAGUUCGCCGUUGUCUCUGAACAGAUCGCUUUAAGUUGGAGAGGAAAAAGAGAAUUUCAUCAAAUCAAAUGCCAUCUGAGGCUCAGUCCCAGGAGCCUCGGGAUAGAGGACCGGCACAUCCCGUCACUCGGGCUGGACGCAGCGCUCAGCUGGCCAAGGCUGCUGCUACUAGCCCCGCCCCCGAGAGGCGGCCUCGUGGGCGUCCUCGGAAAGAUGGGAGCAGCGGCCGAUCUGCUCCUCCUACCCCUCCUCCUCCACCUCCUCCACCACCACCUCCCAAAUCAAGGAAGAAGGGGCGGAGUCGAGGACGAGCCCAGGUAGAGGAUGAAGAAAGCAUGGACGCCACAGAGAAGAAAACCCCCCAGAAGAAAGGUGUGUAUGACGGCAAGGCUCCGUUGAGUUUUGUGUUAUUUUGUGUGUUAUAGGUGUGUAGUUUGUGUGUGUGUGUGUUACAGGUGUGUAGUUUGUGUGUGUUACAGGUGUGUAGUUUGUGUGUGUUAUAGGUGUGUAGUUUGUGUGUGUAGUUUGUGUGUGUGUGUUACAGGUGUGUAGUUUGUGUGUGUGUGUGUUACAGGUGUGUAGUGUGUGUGUGUGUGUUACAGGUGUGUAGUUUGUGUGUGUGUUACAGGUGUGUAGUUUGUGUGUGUGUUACAGGUGUGUAGUUUGUGUGUGUUACAGGUGUGUAGUUUGUGUGUGUGUGUUACAGGUGUGUAGUUUGUGUGUGUGUGUUACAGGUGUGUAGUUUGUGUGUGUUACAGGUGUGUAGUUUGUGUGUGUGUUACAGGUGUGUAGUUUGUGUGUGUGUUACAGGUGUGUAGUUUGUGUGUGUUACAGGUGUGUAGUUUUUGUGUGUGUUACAGGUGUGUAGUUUGUGUGUGUGUUACAGGUGUGUAGUUUGUGUGUGUUAUAGGUGUGUAGUUUGUGUGUGUGUUGUUGGGG